rnacentral:rRNA from 1 species
GAUGAACGCUGGCGGCGUGCCUAAUACAUGCAAGUCGAGCGAACGGACGAGAAGCUUGCUUCUCUGAUGUUAGCGGCGGACGGGGGAGUAACACGUGGAUAACCUACCUAUAAGACUGGGAUAACUUCGGGAAACCGGAGCUAAUACCGGAUGAUAUUUUGAACCGCAUGGUUCAAAAGUGAAAGACGGUCUUGCUGUCACUUAUAGAUGGAUCCGCGCUGCAUUAGCUAGUUGGUAAGGUAACGGCUUACCAAGGCAACGAUGCAUAGCCGACCUGAGAGGGUGAUCGGCCACACUGGAACUGAGACACGGUCCAGACUCCUACGGGAGGCAGCAGUAGGGAAUCUUCCGCAAAGGGCGAAAGCCUGACGGAGCAACGCCGCGUGAGUGAUGAAGGUCUUCGGAUCGUAAAACUCUGUUAUUAGGGAAGAACAUAUGUGUAAGUAACUGUGCACAUCUUGACGGUACCUAAUCAGAAAGCCACGGCUAACUACGUG